GUGGGAAUUCCUGCCGGGGCAGUGAGUUAUGGAGGACACGUUCAUUUCUCACCCCUCCUACCUCACACAGGAGGUGCAGGCCGCGAGCGCUGCCGGAGCGGGCACGGCUGCCUGCAGCCCCGCCGCGGGGGCACAGGUGCGGACCGAGGAUCGUCCCCGUGCCGUGCGGAGCAGCAGCCUGGGGAGAGGAGGCAGGUUUGGAAGAGCAGCCAGGACGGGGCUCUGCCUUCCCCUCCAUCCUCGAGCAGGAGGGCAGGAUCUGGCCCGUGCGCCCGCGACUGGGGGUCGUCAGCAAUAACAGCCGGCACCGGGAGCCCCUCCGCUGGGACGGGGGCUGGUUCACCUGCACACCCCUCAGCCGGUGUCAGGGCGAGGGAGCGGGUGUCCCCUCGGAUUGUGAAGAUGCCGAAUACAUCAUGGACUGGCCUGAUUUUUAAAAGAUGCCCAGGUAGGUGUGCCGGUGAACGCCCCGAGUGCCCCGAGGGAACGAAGACGGCUGCCGAGCGGCUCCAAAUGAAGCACGAGGAUGUGAAAGGCCCAAUAGGUUUUCAGAAGAGCCACCAGACAAUUGUAACAACGUUGUCCUGCUGUAUUAGUUUAAUGUCCACUUGAAUCACUGACCUUAAGGUCUGAGAAGGACUAAACCUAGAAACGGAUGAUUUUUUCCAUG